GAAAUAAAUCGCGCAGAGGUCUGAAGAGGCGGUACGCGCCUCUUCGAGCCUUCCUGCAAACACACGAGAUCUUUUAAGACGAGUCACAAUAUCUUCGUACACUUUUAAUACGUGUAUGUAUGCAUCGGAAGAAGAUCAACGGAGCGACAUUCGAGCUCGACUGUCUCGAGGGCUCGCGGCACUUUGCUCCCCCCUCGAACUUGAAGGAAAAAAAGGAAGUCAGUCAAGAAGCGGAAACGCAGAUGACUGAGAAACGAGGAUGGAACAAAAAACGAAAAUUCUUUCCGUUCCUCCCAGCCGUCGUGGCAGGCUGCAAAAAAAUCAACGAAACAGAGAGGAAGCCCUGAAGGUGCGUCGCACGCUCGCUCAUUUUCUUCUUAAUCCUUCUCGCUCUCUAUCGGAGCUAAGAAAGUUAAUAUUACGACGAACGACAAAAAUAUUUUUAAACAAAUUUGCAAAAUAAGAUCUUCUUAAAUGACUAAAAAGUUUCUUUACACCCAAAAUUGGGGCUUUUCCCCAAUUGGCAAUAGCCGCAUUAACGAGUUAUACGAUGCAGCACCGACAAAAAUUUGACUCAAAGAAUCCGAGCACGUUAAAACCACUCGCGAUCAACAACGUUCAAACAAGUCAUUUGGGAACGUCAAAAGUCAUCCGGCUCCGAGAAAAUGAAGUCUUCAAGACCGUUCCAACAUAUUCCAAAUAACCUCGCCACACUGAAACCGAAAUUUGACUAAAAUAUUCAAACAUUUCGUAGCCCGUUGGCACAAGACUUUAUAGUUAAAGCAACAAUCGAACGGUACGCACCAAGCUCCUUUGUACCGAAACGUAACUUUGUUGGCGCAAUAAAAUAUUCCCCGGACGAAGCAUUCUGCUGUGCGUACUCAAAAAAAUAUUCCAAAAUUCCAGCGUACCUCGCAAAGUACCGUUUUCGCUAAAGAAAAAGCAUUCUACUCGUAAAAUAACGGUACAGCUGAUCGUUCCGCGUCUUCGUCCACGAUACGUGAACUGUACGUGGGGUAGCAGAGCGUUGGCGUAGUGGUGAAAAAGUCCCCCGAAAGCAUACACGUGCUUGGUGGCUGUGUGGAGGAUCGUCAGUCAAGAAACACCGAGGGACAAGAUUCGAGAGAGCGAGAGAGAGAGAGCCCAGGGCAUCAUGGUACACAUUAUAUCCCCCGGAGCAAUAUCUCUGUAGGAGGCUGAGUAACACAUGUCCCUCUCCUCUCGGACCGGGGCUUCUGCCAUCCUCGAAAUUCCGGGCCACGUGUGCUACGUACCGUAAUUACAAGGAGAUCGUAGCUCCUCCUCGCCCUCGUUUGGAUAUCAACUCUUUAACACACGCGUUAAUGCAUCUUCGGGUACGCGUGCGUACGCAGACACGAAAACGACGCAACGUUUGUACGGGCGCGUAUCUCUGGAAGCAUUAUCGACUUUGGCCAGAUACUCUUUCAAUAUUAUUUUCAAGUGAUGCCAAACGGAGAUAGGAGAGGCUACAAAAACCUGCCACGAGAGCAGUCGACUGAGCUUCAUUUUUUCAUCUCGAACUUGGAUUGAUUCGCUCUCGACUUAUAUCAACGACGUUUCAUGAAUUACACAAGCUUUUCCGGCCUCUGAUCCACGGGGAUGAAUGUUUUAUUGGAAAGCCGAAGUAGGGUCGUUGAACCGGAAAAUGCUUUUGAGAAAAAAUGCAUCUUCCGAGAUUCUUUGAGUCCCCGCUCAAUUCGGAAGCGUCUCGGCUCGAAAAAUCGAAAUAAAAGCAGUUGAUUGAAGAGUGUUAUUUUGAAGAAGGCAUUUUCAGCGGGCCCGCAGACCUCGUCACGAUUCUCGCUCGCAGCGACAGUGCAGCGGUGCGAAACGGCGCGUGAGGAAAAAUAAUACUCUGCAGAAUGUGCGUGCACGCGUUAUGCGUGUGGUCGAUCGCUCCUCGGCCAUCAGGGUGGGUGGAAUCGAGCGCCUUACCUGGCGAAUAAUGCACCGGGAGCGACGGGAGUGUGCACGCCACGGGUCACCAGGCUAAACUCCGCGUGCGUAAGUUAUCGCUCUUCAUAGGAAAGAGAAAGCUCAGGGGAGCGAGAACGAAGCGAAUGCGCGCUGCUGGGAAGCGCUAACGGAAGAGUAGAGAAUGUGGAAAAAGGGUUGCGGAGGGCGCGCCUGUGAGAUCGAGAGGAAAAGUGCCGGGAAGAUAAAAUCUAAUGGGCGGGCAAAAUAUUGAGAGGGCUGGAACGCACCUGAGGAAAUAAGGAGCAAAAGAAAUGCACGAGGAGACGGAAACUCGAGGAAGCGGUCGGGGGAGAAAAAAGUGGUGCGGGGAUUGAAACGCACCUGAGACCGGAAGACUGAGAAAGGGCGAGCAGAAAAGGGGACUUGGAGGAUUGAAAUGCGCACCUGAAGAGAAGAACAAAAGGUGCGGAAGAGGCUGGAGCAGGGAGCAGAUCGAAAUGCACCUGCGCGAGCUUUUUUUAACUCUUCGGUAUCGGGCCGAGCAUUUAAGGUACGAUGAAAAUUUAGGAGCGCAUCCGAUAAUUCGUGGCCUCUGGCAGUCUCGCGUUGGCGGAUGCGUAACCUCGAUGAAAUGUGACACCACGAAGCGCGAGCGAGCGAACGAACGACGAUGAAGCGACGCGAUCCGGAGCCCCGAGGACGCCGAGAGGCUCCGGGGGACGAAACACGAACGGGAAAAAAAAUAAGUUUACGUUGGAUACGAGCGAGGGGAAAAGUCGACGUCGUCAAGAAAAUAACGAGAGAAAAAUGGAGACGAUGGGGGAGAGCGAGAGGGAGCGAGAGAGGCAGCUGCGGUACAGUGACGAACAUCCGAGAGCCCAUUCGUAAUUUGGCAACGAGAAAACACCCGUGUCGCGUUAACCCAGAGAGGGUUGAUCUCAUCGAGAAUCUUCCAACAGUUUUUUGCCUCGGUCCAACUAUUGCGAGGGAUUAGUAACGAUUCGAGAAUUUUUAAAUUACCAUUCGAACCAUGCUUGGCUCGAUGUUGAAUUUUUCUUCGUUCGAAUGCAUCGAAAAUCCAUGUUUUUUCUUCAAAUAAGUUCAAAACUAACUCUCACAGUGUGUAGCAACGAAUGAAUUUUGGCAGCAUAACUGGAGAACAGGGAAUCAAAAUCGACAAGAAAAAAAGGUCAAAAAUUGAAGUAGAAAAUGGAAAAAAAGUGCGCGCGUCGGAAGUUCGGGAACUCCGAAGGUUGCGAAAAAGCGAUGAGCACGAUUUUGGGACAAAAAGCUGAGCGAGUGAUGAACUUUUACGAGGGAAUUACGAGCAGCGGUCGCCGCAGCGAGUGCAGCUCGGGCCUGAUGACUGGAAGGAACGUCAGGGGAAGCGAAGGAGCGAGGGGGGGCCGGAGAGAGUGUGAUUUUUCGUGCGAGCAGAUGACUGUGACGAGACGAUGUUGACGAAGUGAAGAAGGAGGAGAAGUCGGGGUGCUGCGAAAGCGAGAAAGAUUCGACGCGAGGAGACCGCGUCGAGAAGAGGAAAAACGAAGAAGAGAAUCGGGAGGGGCGGAGAGAGACGCGAAAUUGAGAAGCGGUUAGAGAGAGAAGUACGACGGGGAGGUUUAACGAGGGUGACGAGAGGAAAAGAGAGCGAGGGAAACGUACGCGCGUCCCCGCGCUUGUGGGAGUGAGCCUCUCGCAAAUGUGUGCGUACGCAGUAGUAGCAGCAUCGAAGAGAGAGCUUGGCUGGCAGCUGUCGGGCGCGUGCGGCGUCGAACCUUUUAAGGCGCGAUCACUGGACGCCCGACGUCGCAACAUCCCUCUUUUCUCUCUCUCUCUUUCCCAACCUCCGUACACGCUCCCCACUGCUCUCGCAUUCCCUCGCUUCCCUUCCUUGGAGCAUUCCCCGUGCUGUAGCAACGAAAGCUACUUACUCCCCACGCCCGUCCUCGUUGCGAAUUCGGGCUAUAUUCAGUAUUGUUGAAUCUCCAAAGCCACAUAAAUGUUUGGGUUUGGAGAUUUGUGCAUGCUCGUGCAAAAGCGCUCUGGCGGGAUGCACCGAAGCUUCGAUAAUGAGGGCACGUUGAAAGUCUCGCGGUAUGAUUUUCGGGCGAACCGAAAGCGCGGAAUUUGACUCGAGCAGGACGAAUCGUACGAAUAUUAACGAGCGUUUCGGUGCGCCCUUUCAGGAUUUUUUUCUCGGUCUCUCGUCCCCCGGUGGCGCGCGGCACGUUCACCUGGUUUCACGGGGGCCGCCAACACUCCGCAUCUCUCAACCGGGUGUCCGCCGUCGCGCGUCUCGCUCCGCGUGGCCUCCGUGUACGUUUUCCCUCUGCGCGGCCUGUUAGGAAAUAAAAGUAUGCAGCUUGCGUGCCAAAUUUCUCGCUCCCGACGUCUUUUCCCCUGCUCCACGGGCCGCCGGUUCUCCGCACCCGUUUCGCCGAAGUACGCGCAGGCCCGAGCUUCGCAACUGGCUUUCAGAAAAGUUUUUGUUUCCCGUGGCCCGUUCGACUCGCUUGUUUCGAACUUCCUCUUACUUUCGUUAGUUUUUCUUCUCGUUUAGCGCUCGCCUGCGCGCUUUCGCUUCUCUUCUGGGCCGGGCGCACUCGAGCCUCCCCGUUUGUUUGUUUCUUCGUUUGCUCACGUUUCACAGCCGUCGUGAAGCAAUCGCGCAUGCGCCCUCGAUCCCGAUUGUCGCGAGCCCCCGACGCGCUCUCUCCAUCUUUCAAAUACUUUUCCACAUACGCGAUCAUGCGCGCAAACCUCGGCCCUCGCUUUCUCAUCCCACGCGGAUCACACGACACGCAACAGGCGCUUCCCCUUUGCCGCUACCCGCGAAACGGAUCCGCGAGCCUCGAGCGAAUAGACGAAGCUCGCGCAGCGGACGCGCGAGCGAGCCGAUGCAGCGCCUCCCGUUCCUUACCCGCGAACCUUCCGCGGUGAAUUUCAUCAGAAUUUUCGUUUCGUUCGCCCUCCGCUCUCGCCGUUUCCGACGAGCCCUAUCCCCGUCGAUUUAUCAUGGGAAAAGGAGCUUUUCCAGAGGCCGCUGACUCGAGAUGAGCGAAAAAGUGAUGCCGAAAAUCCCUUUGGACUCUCCGCAGCUCAUACGCGUUCCUCCCAAAACACUUCAAGUCGGAGGAUGAUCAAUAAAUCUCGCGGCUCAAAUUUACAUAGAAACGAAUACACGACCGUGAUACUAUCGAUUGCCGCACGGGAGUCCGAACGUUUCGAUAGCUUUUGGGCGAGCGAGACUUUUGACCCGAUCGAAUGUAGGUGAGAGCGCCGAAUAAUUCAUGCCCAACAUCCUGACAGCUACGCGGCCCUAUAAAGACUUCUCGGUUUGAUAUACGAUCCGCGAUGCUUCGAUCAACUGCUCCGCGAGUUCCAACGAUUUUAACCGCGAAACCGAACAUCGUGAAAUCCUGUCGUUCCGACAGGAACGAAACCAAAAAGUUGUCAAACUUUUUUUCGUAGAUUCGAGCACGACGAUACAAUGUUGCCAUGCUAAACCAUGUUAAGAAUAUGAAGAAUUUCAAAAUUAUAAGAAUUUCAUAAUAUUUGGUAAAU